CUCCCUGACUUCAUACAGGCCUUCCCAGUUAGGGGCGAGCUUCCCUUGAUUCUGAGGUUGUGAGACAGCAGCUCGUCGAAGCACUAAGUCCCCCACUCUGAAGGCCUUGCUCUUGACUCGGGAAUUGUAAUAGCGGGCCACUUUCUGCCUGUAGGCGGCCAUCCGAACUUGAGCUGUCUCCCGCAUCUCUUCUAACAAGUCGAGGUUGGCUUUGAGAUCCUGCGAGUUG
rnacentral:lncRNA from 1 species